rnacentral:lncRNA from 1 species
UUUGGUCUAGAAACUUGUGUGACUAAACACAUUUAGUCAUAGCUAUUUAAGAUAUUAACUUGGAUAAUUAUAUCAUGAAAGCCAAUGAAUGUUUCCAUCGACUAAUUUAAACUUAGCCAAAUGCAUAGCUAAAUCACUUUUUUUUAAAAAAAAAAAAUCUAAUUUAAUCCAAGCUCUUUGAUUUUAGUAAAAUGAGUCAACUAAGGAAAACAUGUUUGGUG